AAUUUGUUUUAUUUUUGUUAUUAAUCUUGUUUAAUGUUUAUUUUACAUGUAAAUUUUUGUGUGAAUAUUAAUUUAUCUAAAAGAUAUUUUAUUUAGUAAUUAUUCGCAGUAAUCAAUAUUAUAAAUAAAAGAAAUUUUGAUUUAGUAAUAUAUUUUAGUAUUGGUAAAUUUUGUGCCAGCAACCGCGGUUAUACAAAUAAUACAAAUAAGAUUUAUUAGUAAUAGUUAAUUUGUUAAAAAUAAAAUUAAUUUAAAUUUUUUAAGUGAAAUUUUAAAUUUAAUUACUUUUAUAUUUAAAGUUAAAUGAAGCUAGGAAAUUUUAAUAAUAAACUAGGAUUAGAUACCCUAUUAUUUAGAAUGUAAAUGUUAAUACUUGAGUAGUAAUAGUUAUGUUCUUCAAACUUAAAGAAUUUGGCGGUGUUUUAGUCUAUUUAGAGGAACCUGUCCUGUAAUCGAUAAUCCACGUUGGACCUUACUAAAAUUUGUUUUCAAUUUGUAUAUCGCCGUUAUCAGAAUAUCUUAAAAGAGUAAUAAUUUUCUUAAUUUAAAAAUAUAAUUGAUGUCAGGUCAAGGUGCAGUUUAUAUUUUAGUAGAGAUGGGUUACAAUAAAUUUAUUUAUACGUUAAAUUGUUUGAAAUAAUGAUUUUAAGGUGGAUUUAAAAGUAAAAUAAUGGAUAUAAUUUAUUUGAUUAUAGCUCUAAAACAUGCACACAUCGCCCGUCGCUCUCAUUAUUAAAAUGAGAUAAGUCGUAACAUAGUAGAAGUAUCGGAAGAUGCUUCUAGAAUGAC
rnacentral:ncRNA from 1 species